UACGGAGGAUGCGAGCGUUAUCCGGAUUUAUUGGGUUUAAAGGGUGCGCAGGCGGCGUGUCAAGUCAGCGGUAAAAUGUCGGGGCUCAACCCCGGCCGGCCGUUGAAACUGGCAGACUUGAGUUGGCGAGAAGUACGCGGAAUGCGCGGUGUAGCGGUGAAAUGCAUAGAUAUCGCGCAGAACACCGAUUGCGAAGGCAGCUUGCUAGGCCGGAUCUGACACUGAUGCACGAAAGCGUGGGGAUCGAACAGG
rnacentral:rRNA from 1 species